UUCAAAAAUGUAGAGGCCAGUGGAGCUACAAGAUAAAAGUUGGAAGUGACCUGCUGCCAUUUUGGAAGUAGCCCACCACCAUCUUGGGAGCUCUGGGAGCAAGGACCCCCGGUUACAGAAAUAUUAUCUUUCAUUUUAUAAUUUAAAAUUGGCAAAUAAAAUAAGAUGCAGUAGAAAGAGCACGAGCCACCUCAACACAUGGAUUGGACUUUGCUGCUUACCAACUAUGAGAAAAUGAACAACCCCUUUCACCUCUAGGGU
rnacentral:lncRNA from 1 species